rnacentral:tRNA from 1 species
GUCAGGAUGGCCGAGGCGGUCUAAGGCGCUACGUUCAGGGCGCAGUCUCCCCUGGAGGCGUGGGUUCAAAUCCCAUUUCUGACA